rnacentral:rRNA from 1 species
CGGUGAAUACGUUCUCGAGUCUUAUACACACUGCCCGUCAAAUCAACAAAGUCGGGGGCACCUGAAGCCGGGCUUUUGCCCGAUGAAGGUGAAUUCGGCGAUGGGGGUUAAGUCGUAA